AAAGAGUGCUUGAAAUUGCCGAGAGGGAAGUGGAUGGAGGCCAGCGAUGCAUCUCGGUCGGAUGCGGAACGACUCAAGCUGGUCCACCGCUCGACUCGAGGUGCGAACCAGCACAGGCCGUUGCAUCGACACAAGCGCGGGUGGAGUACUACCUGUUGGUUUGCCAUUGUGGCGGUCGAGGAAUGAAGCAUGCACCCUUGGGGCGGGCCACUGUGCACCUGCACGCUCGUGGUGUUGGUUGGCAAGCUUUCCAUUCGACCCGUCUUGAAACACGGACCAAGGAGUCUAACAUGUGUGCAAGUCGGUGGGUUUGUAAACCUGCGAGGCGUAAGGAAGCUGACGGGAGAGAAACCCUCUCCAUGGGGUGCAUUGCCGACCAACCUUGAGCUUGUUGCAGAGAAUAUAUUAAUUGGAUUGAGAAAGAGAGCUUCUCACAGUGAGAAGAUGGCAUCGGAAGAAGGGCUUUCUCAGGAUGAGAAAGAGUUCCGGAAAACUUUCCUUGCUAUGUCGGAGAUGGUGAAAGUUUUGUACAAGGAUUACUUGGAACGAAAGAGACCAGUUUUGGGUGAAUCUUCAAAGGGAAAAAGUGAAGAGGAAGAGGAUUAUCCUC
rnacentral:ncRNA from 1 species